GACGAACGCUGGCGGCGUGCUUAACACAUGCAAGUCGAACGGAAAGGCCCUGCUUUUACUGUACUCGAGUGGCGAACGGGUGAGUAACACGUGGGUGAUCUGCCCUCCACUUCGGGUUAAGCCUCGGAAACUGGGUCUAUUACCGGAUAGGUGCCAUUUUUAGUGUGAUGGUUCGAAAGUUUUUUCUGUGUUGGAUGAGUUUGCGGCCUAUCUGCUUGUUGGUGGGGUUAUGGCCUACCAAGGCGGCGGCGGGUAGCCGGCCUGUGGGGGUGGACGGCCACACUGAGACCGAGGGAAGGCCGAGGAUGCUAAGGGAGGGAACAGGGGGGAAUAUUGAACAAGGGGCGCAAGGAUGAUGCAGCGAGGCCGCGGGGGGGAAGACGGCCUUGUGGGGGUAAACUCCUUUCGGUAGGGACGAAGCGUGUUGUGACGGUACCGAGAUAAGAAGCACCGGCUAACUACGUG
rnacentral:rRNA from 1 species